GCCAUAUCACAUUAAAAUACCGGUUCUCGUACAAUCACCGAAGUUAAGCAACGUCGAAUCUGGUCAGUACUUAGAUGGAUGACCGCUUGAGUAUUGCAGGUGUUGUCAG